UGGUGAGGGGGCUGGGCCCCCUGGGCACAGAAUAGGUACAGAAUGGAAACUUGUAAUCUAACCAAUGAAUGCUUUUUACAUGAUGCAAAUACUAGACACGUCACGUGACCUUGGGAAGUUCCAAUCCUGGCCUUCUGAUUGACUCGUGGCAGUGAAUGAGAUCAAUUGAUCCGGAUCAUUAAAGUGAUCCGAACCUACCAUACUAUUACAAUGCUACAAUGCGGCGCUUCCUAACAAGAUGGCGGAUUUUGGCGUCAGGGUACUAGCCAAGUUUCCAUACUGUAUGUAUAGUGUGCCCUGGGCCCCUCUUAAGGGGGAUUAUAUUAUACGCCCCUGAUUAUUUCUGUCAUCUCUAAUUGGAUGUAAAAUUCGAUUCUUCAUUUAUAUCGGAACAUAAAAAUCGAUCUUCAACAAUCGAUCUUUGAACAGAGAGAUAUAACUUUUUUGAGGUAAUCUAUUUCAAAUAUCGAUAAAGUAUCGAAAGACAAAACAUCGAUGUUUUGAACAUUUUGAGCAUGUUUGAUGUUUUGAACAUCGACGAUUUUUCACCUUAACAUCGAUGAUCGAUAAACAUCGUCGAUAAAAAUCAUAUCGAUGAUCGAUAUACACCUCAACAUCGAUAAGUGAAAAACAUCAAACAGUAAACAUCGAUGUUUGAUGUUGAUACCCAUCUAUACUAAAAAAGCUAACCUUAAAUUUAAGCCUGCGCCUAAAACCCUGCGUCUUUUUCCUCAUUCCUGCUUCCUGCGUUUCACAUUUUCAUAUCAGUUUAUAAUUAUUUUUAGAUCGCUAGUGUAAAUUUUUUAUUGUUGACCUUACAACUACAUUCCUCUAUUGCAUUUGAUAAUUACCUGUGUGUAUUAGUACUUAGUAUUUGUAAUUAAAUAGGUAGUUUUUCAUUAGGCCUGCAAAUAAAUUUGCUAGAAAGUAAAACUACUCUGUACUCUGUGAUAAAAUGAAUCUGGAUAAGUUAGUAGUAGUGUUUGAUAGUCCUACAGAUACUUAUUAUGCUGGUCAAAACGUCACGGGACAAGUACAGCUAUUACUGAUGGGGCCAAAGAAAAUAAGAUCUUUGCAGAUAAAAUUUGUGGGUAAGGGAGAAGUGAAAUGGUCAGAACAAGUGAAGAUUGAGGGCAGGACUCAAUUGGAAAAUAUAGUCUACUCGGAUGAUGAGGAGUAUUACACUUUCAAGUAUAACUUGGCUGGAGGAGGAAACAGCGAGCUGCAUCUGCCUCCUGGCCAGCACAACUUCUCGUUCGCGGCUUGCCUGCCGCCCGGGCUUCCUGCGUCGUUCGAGGGCGACCGAGGCUUUGUGAGGUACUCGGUAACUGCCACACUCGAGCGACCCUGGAACUCCAGCGAAUAUGCCACCGCUAUAUUCACCGUCAUCUCGCCCAUUGAUCUCAACUACAAUCCACUCGCAAAGGCGCCAGUGCACAUGGACGUGGAGAAGUCGUUCUGCUGCUGCUGGUGCAGGUCGGGGCCACUACAGCUGGUGUUGGCCAUACCUCACUCUGGAUGGGUGCCCGGUCAGGCCAUUCCGCUCACCCUCGAACUGGACAAUGCCAGCAAUGUCACUGUCACCAAUCUCAUCGUCAAACUCGAAAAGGUUCUGGACUGGAAAGCAAGGAACCCGCAGCCCAAUCAGUGCAGAGAUCGAGUUGAACUGUCAAAGCUGACCCUGCCGGGAGUCGAACCCGGCGGCUCCAAGUCGUGGUGUCAGUUGUUGCCCAUUCCCUCCGUUGCUACCUUCAAUCUCGACCAAUGCACUAUCAUCAAUUGCUCCUACGCUCUCACCGCCAAGGCGGUGGUGGGCGGUUGCCAUACCAACCUGACAAUGGAAGUGCCCGUGUUUCUGGGGACGGUGCCUUUCUAUGAGGCCGGACCAACCGACGCCCCCUCUGCGCCCCCGCCGCCCACCAAUGCGUCAAUCGGCUUCAAUCUGGAUGCCAGCCAAUGGUGUUAUCCGUCUAUGACCACGCCCCUGCUACCAACCCAAAAUGGUUUCAGGGCAGCUCAAUAAAGUCAAUCAAUUCUUCAAAUUAUUGAAUAUUUUAUUAUCAGCUACUGAAUAUUUUAGUCAUGUUUAUUGAAUAUUUUAUUAUCAGAUAUGGUUUAUUAACUGAGGAAAUUAGCGGUUAUCUUUGAAAUGUAUGAUUGAGCCACUAGUCAGAUGCCAUCAUAAGGUUGUCAACUGCUUGUCUUAUCCAAGACAUGAGUUUUCAUAUGGAUCAAUUCCAAAGUUAGUAGUCUACUAAUGUUGGAUCAAUUCAGCCGGUUUUGAGUAGUUAUCAUUUUUUAUUGAACGUACCUCGUACUUGAAAUUGAUCAAUCUAAUCAAUACAAUUAAAAACUAUGUUAUCUCAUAUUAAUAUUGUCUUCCUGAACAGUUAAUAUUUUUAUUACUCUUCAUUAUUUAUUUUUUAUAAUGAAAUACGAGUAAAGUAGUAAAAUUUAGAAAAGAAUAAUAAUUCAAAUUAUAGCCUAUAUUUUAUAUUGAUAUACAAAAUAUAUUCAUUUCAUAUUUUUAUAUUUAUAUAUAUUAUAAUAUACACUGACAAUUACUAUAAAAGUAUAAUAAACGUGCUUAAAAAUGUUAUACUAUUUCCAUAGCCUAUAUUUCAUAGCGUUGCCUUCAAGCUAGUUAUAAGGAUAUUGAUGUUAUGUGUUUAUAAGAAUUAUGUGUUAAAAUUCAAGUUAAGAAGUUCCUGCUAUUUGUUAAUCUUCAUAAUAUUUUCAAAUGCACUACGGAUAAGAAUCUAAUACAAGGAUAAAAUUUGAUAAUAUAUUGUUGAGUAGUACUUAAACCCGAUAGAAAAUGUUAGAAUUGAAGAGACUUGAGGUAAAGUUUGCGUGCAGAGAGAUGUUAUGGAACUUUUCCGUAAUUUAUUGAAGAGACUUGAGGUUAUGUCAAUAUUCCACUUUAUUUAGGUUUUUCCACUAAUGUUAGGAUUUUUUUAAGACAAUUUUUAUUGGUAGACUACCCAAUUGUUUAUGUGUACUUGAUUUUAUUAUUUGUUUGAUGAUUACAUUUUAUUUUAUUGUAAUCAUAUAUCCUCUUAUUUAUCUCUUUUCUGUAUAGGGCUACUUGUAAUAUAAAUAUAAAGAAAAAUAAA
rnacentral:misc_RNA from 1 species